rnacentral:rRNA from 1 species
AUUGAACGCUGGCGGCAGGCCUAACACAUGCAAGUCGAGCGGAUGAAGGGAGCUUGCUCCUGGAUUCAGCUGCGGACUGGUGAGUAAUGCCUAGGAAUCUGCCUGGUAGUGGGGGAUAACGUCCGGAAACGGGCGCUAAUACCGCAUACGUCCUGAGGGAGAAAGUGUGGGAUCUUCGGACCUCACGCUAUCAGAUGAUCCUAGGUCGGAUUAGCUAGUUGGUGGGGUAAAGGCCUACCAAGGCGACGAUCCGUAACUGGUCUGAGAGGAUGAUCAGUCACACUGGAACUGAGACACGGUCCAGACUCCUACGGGAGGCAGCAGUGGGGAAUAUUGGACAAUGGGCGAAAGCCUGAUCCAGCCAUGCCGCGUGUGUGAAGAAGGUCUUCGGAUUGUAAAGCACUUUAAGUUGGGAGGAAGGGCAGUAAGUUAAUACCUUGCUGUUUUGACGUUACCAACAGAAUAAGCACCGGCUAACUUCGUG